rnacentral:rRNA from 1 species
CGGUUUGUCGCGUCUGCCGUGAAAGUCCGGGGCUUAACCCCGGAUCUGCGGUGGGUACGGGCAGACUAGAGUGCAGUAGGGGAGACUGGAAUUCCUGGUGUAGCGGUGAAAUGCGCAGAUAUCAGGAGGAACACCGAUGGCGAAGGCAGGUCUCUGGGCUGUAACUGACGCUGAGGAGCGAAAGCAUGGGGAGCGAACAGGAUUAGAUACCCUGGUAGUCCAUGCCGUAAACGUUGGGCACUAGGUGUGGGGGACAUUCCACGUUUUCCGCGCCGUAGCUAACGCAUUAAGUGCCCCGCCUGGGGAGUACGGCCGCAAGGCUAAAACUCAAAGGAAUUGACGGGGGCCCGCACAAGCGGCGGAGCAUGCGGAUUAAUUCGAUGCAACGCGAAGAACCUUACCAAGGCUUGACAUGAACCGGAAUGAUGCAGAGAUGUGUCAGCCACUUGUGGCCGGUUUACAGGUGGUGCAUGGUUGUCGUCAGCUCGUGUCGUGAGAUGUUGGGUCAAGUCCCGCAACGAGCGCAACCCUCGUUCCAUGUUGCCAGCGGGUUAUGCCGGGGACUCAUGGGAGACUGCCGGGGUCAACUCGGAGGAAGGUGGGGACGACGUCAAAUCAUCAUGCCCCUUAUGUCUUGGGCUUCACGCAUGCUACAAUGGCCGGUACAAAGGGUUGCGAUACUGUGAGGUGGAGCUAAUCCCAAAAAGCCGGUCUCAGUUCGGAUUGAGGUCUGCAACUCGACCUCAUGAAGUUGGAGUC